GGAAGAGCUCAAAUUUAUAAUCUGGCACCUUCGGUGUCCGAGUUGUAAUCUCUAGAAAUGUUUUCCGCGCUGGACCGCACACAAGUCUGUUGGAAUACAGCGGCAUAGUGGUGAGACCCCCGUAUAUGGUGCGGAUGCCCAGCGCUUUGUGAUACAUUUUCGAAGAGUCGAGUUGUUUGGGAAUGCAGCUCAAAUUGGGUGGUAAAUUCCAUCUAAAGCUAAAUAUUGGCGAGAGACCGAUAGCGAACAAGUACCGUGAGGGAAAGAUGAAAAGCACUUUGGAAAGAGAGUUAACAGUACGUGAAAUUGUUGGAAGGGAAACGCUUGAAGUCAGACUUGCUUGCCGAGCAAUCGGUUUGCAGGCCAGCAUCAGUUUUCCGGGAUGGAUAAUGGUAGAGAGAAGGUAGCAGUUUCGGCUGUGUUAUAGCUCUCUACUGGAUACAUCUUGGGGGACUGAGGAACGCAGUGUGCCUUACGGCGGGGGUUUCGACCUCUUCACACUUAGGAUGCUGGUGGAAUGGCUUUAAACGACCCGUCUUAA
rnacentral:rRNA from 1 species